rnacentral:rRNA from 1 species
UACGAAGGGGGCUAGCGUUGUUCGGAAUUACUGGGCGUAAAGCGCACGUAGGCGGAUAUUUAAGUCAGGGGUGAAAUCCCGCAGCUCAACUGCGGAACUGCCUUUGAUACUGGGUAUCUAGAGUAUGGAAGAGGUGAGUGGAAUUCCGAGUGUAGAGGUGAAAAUGCGUAGAUAUCGGAAGGAACACCAGUGGCGAAAAGCGGCUUCCUGGUCCAGCACCGACGUUCAGGCACGAAAGCGUGGGGAGCAAACAGG